AUUCUAUGAAAACUGAUGGUUUUAGGCCUUCAGAGGCUACACCACCUAUAUCAGGGUACUGACAUGGUCACAUUUGACGAUCUCAAGCAGGGCAGGCAUCUGAUACCGGCAGACUUUUCCCGCUAUCUACAGAUCAGGGACUUCGCUGCCCAACCUCAUAUUAGGGAAACAGCGAUACAUCCCCUAACCUUUUUCGAACGCAUAUGCACCUCAGAAAACAUACCCAGAGGACUGAUCUCAACACUAUAUACACACUUCUGCACGGAGACGGGGGAAUGGGGGUGACUGGCCUACACUGAAAAGUGGGAGAAGGAUCUGGGAGAAGAGCUAGAGGGGGUAGAAUGGCAGGAGAUAUGGGAGGCGAACAACACAUCCUCAGUCUGUGUAAUUCACCAGGAACAGGCAUUUAAAACAAUGUUUCGCUGGUAUACAACGCCAGUAACCCUGUACAAAAUGCACAAAACCACGACAGACUUAUGCUGGAGAGGCUGCGGAGCCAGGGGAACGUACCUCCACAUGUGGUGGGAAUGCCCCGGCGCAAUCCCGUUUUGGGCAGCAGUGCACAAUCUGGUGAGACAGGUGUUCUCUAGGACGCCCGCGUUGGAACCAUGGGUAUAUCUCCUGAGCAGGUCGAUAGAGGGAUGGACGCGAAGGGAGCAAAUGCUGCUCCAUAAGAUCACGCUAGCCGCAUGACAGGCAAUGGCCUUUACAUGGCUACAGUGGGACCUACCACAAAUAUCAAGCGUGAUAGGAUAAAAGACAUCCAGGUGAUGGAUGACCUUACCGCUAGGGUCAGGGGCACCACCAAG